UACGGGGGGUGCGAGCGUUGUCCGGAAUCACUGGGCGUAAAGGGCGCGUAGGCGGCGUGAUAAGGUAGUGGUGAAAGCCCGGGGCUCAACCCCGGGUCUGCCAUGCCGACUGUCAGGCUCGAGUACUGUAGGGGCAGGCGGAAUUCCGGGUGUAGCGGUGGAAUGCGUAGAGAUGCGGAGGAAGACCAGUGGCGAAGGCGGCCUGCUGGGCAGUUACUGACGCUGAGGUGCGACAGCGUGGGGAGCAAACAGG
rnacentral:rRNA from 1 species